rnacentral:rRNA from 1 species
GAUGAACGCUGGCGGCGUGCCUAAUACAUGCAAGUCGAGCGAACAGACGAGGAGCUUGCUCCUCUGACGUUAGCGGCGGACGGGUGAGUAACACGUGGAUAACCUACCUAUAAGACUGGGAUAACUUCGGGAAACCGGAGCUAAUACCGGAUAACAUGUUGAACCGCAUGGUUCAACAGUGAAAGACGGUCUUGCUGUCACUUAUAGAUGGAUCCGCGCCGCAUUAGCUAGUUGGUAAGGUAACGGCUUACCAAGGCAACGAUGCGUAGCCGACCUGAGAGGGGGGUCGGCCACAGUGGAGCUGAGACGCGGAACAGACGACUGCGGGAGGCAGCAGUAGGGAAUCGUACGCAAUGGGCGAAAGCAUGACGGAGCAAGGGCGCGUGAGAGAAGAAGGUCUUCGGAUCGUAAAACUCUGUUAUGAGGGAAGAACAAAUGUGUAAGUAACUAUGCACGGCUUGACGGUAACUAAUCAGAAAGCCACGGCUAACUACGUG